rnacentral:snoRNA from 1 species
GCAUUCUCUCAUGGUGUCCCAUGCCAGAGCAGCUGUUGCCCCAGCCAUAAGCCUGACCUCUCUGCCCAUAGGCUGCUGACACUGACGCAGGUUCCACAGUG